GUUUCAUGAAAUUCUGUUGUGUGGUUUGAGAGGAGUUGCGAUGACAAAAGGUUGCAGUAGUACAUUAAAGUAAAUAAGUUCAAAGGAGCGUAACUCCUAGAAAAAAAAUUGAAUCGUAAUUUCCUGUGGAUAUGCACAUCUACGUAGUAUGUCAUUAUCUGAAAAGGUUUCAUGAAAUUCUGUUGUGUGGUUUGAGAGGAGUUGCGAUGACAAAAGGUUGCAGCAGUAUAUUGGGCAAAUAAGUUCAAAGGGGCGUAACUCCUGGAAAAAAAAUUGAAUCGUAUUUCCUGUCGAUAUGCACAUCUACGUUGUAUGUCCUUAUUAUCUGAAAAGGUUUCAUGAAAUUCUGUUGUGUGGUUUGAGAGGAGUUGCGAUGACAAAAGGUUGCAGUAGUACAUUAAAGUAAAUAAGUUCAAAGGGGCGUACCUCCUGGAAAAAAAAUUGAAUCGUAAUUUCCUGUCGAUAUGCACAUCUACGUAGUAUGUCCUUAUUAUCUGAAAAGGUUUCAUGAAAUUCUGUUGUGUGGUUUGAGAGGAGUUGCCAUGACAAAAGGUUGCAGUAGUAUAUUGGGCAAAUAAGUUCAAAGGGG